UUUUAUGAGAGUUUGAUCCUGGCUCAGGACGAACGCUGGCGGCGUGCCUAAUACAUGCAAGUCGAACGCUUCUUUUUCCACCGGAGCUUGCUCCACCGGAAAAAGAGGAGUGGCGAACGGGUGAGUAACACGUGGGUAACCUGCCCAUCAGAAGGGGAUAACACUUGGAAACAGGUGCUAAUACCGUAUAACAAUUGAAACCGCAUGGUUUUGAUUUGAAAGGCGCUUUCGGGUGUCGCUGAUGGAUGGACCCGCGGUGCAUUAGCUAGUUGGUGAGGUAACGGCUUACCAAGGCGACGAUGCAUAGCCGACCUGAGAGGGUGAUCGGCCACAUUGGGACUGAGACACGGCCCAAACUCCUACGGGAGGCAGCAGUAGGGAAUCUUCGGCAAUGGACGAAAGUCUGACCGAGCAACGCCGCGUGAGUGAAGAAGGUUUUCGGAUCGUAAAACUCUGUUGUUAGAGAAGAACAAGGAUGAGAGUAACUGUUCAUCCCUUGACGGUAUCUAACCAGAAAGCCACGGCUAACUACGUGCCAGCAGCCGCGGUAAUACGUAGGUGGCAAGCGUUGUCCGGAUUUAUUGGGCGUAAAGCGAGCGCAGGCGGUUUCUUAAGUCUGAUGUGAAAGCCCCCGGCUCAACCGGGGAGGGUCAUUGGAAACUGGGAGACUUGAGUGCAGAAGAGGAGAGUGGAAUUCCAUGUGUAGCGGUGAAAUGCGUAGAUAUAUGGAGGAACACCAGUGGCGAAGGCGGCUCUCUGGUCUGUAACUGACGCUGAGGCUCGAAAGCGUGGGGAGCAAACAGGAUUAGAUACCCUGGUAGUCCACGCCGUAAACGAUGAGUGCUAAGUGUUGGAGGGUUUCCGCCCUUCAGUGCUGCAGCUAACGCAUUAAGCACUCCGCCUGGGGAGUACGACCGCAAGGUUGAAACUCAAAGGAAUUGACGGGGGCCCGCACAAGCGGUGGAGCAUGUGGUUUAAUUCGAAGCAACGCGAAGAACCUUACCAGGUCUUGACAUCCUUUGACCACUCUAGAGAUAGAGUUUUCCCCUUCGGGGGCAAAGUGACAGGUGGUGCAUGGUUGUCGUCAGCUCGUGUCGUGAGAUGUUGGGUUAAGUCCCGCAACGAGCGCAACCCUUAUUGUUAGUUGCCAUCAUUUAGUUGGGCACUCUAGCAAGACUGCCGGUGACAAACCGGAGGAAGGUGGGGAUGACGUCAAAUCAUCAUGCCCCUUAUGACCUGGGCUACACACGUGCUACAAUGGGAAGUACAACGAGUCGCAAAGUCGCGAGGCUAAGCUAAUCUCUUAAAGCUUCUCUCAGUUCGGAUUGUAGGCUGCAACUCGCCUACAUGAAGCCGGAAUCGCUAGUAAUCGCGGAUCAGCACGCCGCGGUGAAUACGUUCCCGGGCCUUGUACACACCGCCCGUCACACCACGAGAGUUUGUAACACCCGAAGUCGGUGAGGUAACCUUUUGGAGCCAGCCGCCUAAGGUGGGAUAGAUGAUUGGGGUGAAGUCGUAACAAGGUAGCCGUAUCGGAAGGUGCGGCUGGAUCACCUCCUUU
rnacentral:rRNA from 1 species